rnacentral:lncRNA from 1 species
CAUAGCUGACCCCCGUCCACCUCCAUCAAAUUGCCCAACUUGAGAUUGGUACAUGUAAUCGAGUAGUGAAGGUGGUGGAGGAGGCUGUGCACGUCUGUUGGCCUCUCAAUUUGUCUUUGCUCAUCCAGCUGCCUCUGCAGUUCUGCAAUCAUACGCCACGCAGCUUCAAUAUCAACAUUCUCAGCCAUCGCUCAUUUCUUCUUCUCGCGGUUAUCCAACAGCUGAGACACCAAACGAAAAUAAGAAACAAGAAAACAAAAACUAAAAAAUAAAAAAAAUUAAAACUUAUAACGCCUGAAAUAAUACUUAAGUCUAGUCAGAAAUAUUAAAGUAAAUUCUAAAUAGUCCCCGGCAACGGCGCCAAAAAGUUGAUCACUAAAUUAUUAGCAACAAAUUACCGCAACAAACACGGUGCAAUUGCAGCACAAAAUCAGUAACCGAGUAUCGUAUCCACAGGGACUAUUAUAACGAAUUACUCUAAGUAAUCCUAAUUAAACUAUAGUAAUAUUCAGGC